CACAAUUUUUCGCCCACUUGUCUGGGGCGUUUUAGCAUUGGAAAGAUGAAUUAAAAUGGCCAAUGCUUGCUGGAGUUUUGCUGUUAUUAUGGUCUUUGUGUCAGCAACACGUUCUUCAAUACGAACCUUCAACACAGAAUUUCUUAGAGACAUCCAAGAUCCAACCAUUGGCAUCAGCUCGAUUUGAUCCUCACUAGAUGUUCUAGCCCUCCUAGUAUUACGAUCACACGCAGCUACCAGAGUAUUGAUUGUGAUACUGAUCACUCCCUGGUGUGCAGUAGAGUAAAAUUGCAAACAAAGAGAUUGUAUCAGAUGAAAAAGGAAGGAAGACCACGCAUUGACAUCAGCAAGACUCGCGAUCAAAGAAAAGUGGGGGAAUUUGCCCAAGCACUUGAGGAAACCCUGCCAGGCCCGGCUGAUGCAAAUGCACGUGAACGAUUGGAACAUUUCAAGAACGCUGUUUAUACCACCGCCUUGUCUACAUUUGGCAAGAAAACCAAAAAGACAGCUGACUGGUUCAAAGCCCAUUUGGAGGUGUUGAUGCCAGCCAUGGAGGAUAAGAGGAGAGCUCUAGCAGCAUAUAAAGCCCGUCCUAGUGCGUACAACUUGCAAACUCUUCGAGCUGCUUGUAGCCAGGUCCAACAGGCUGCCAGGAAAUGUUCCAAUGAUUAUUGGCUUCAGCUCUGCUUUCAGAUACAGUUAGCAGCAGACACAGGUAACAUCAAGGGAAUGUAUGAUGUUAUCAAGCAGGCUUUAGGUCCAAUACAGAAGAAAUCUGCUCCCUUGAAGUCUGCUACAGGCGUGAUCAUCCAAGACCGUGCACAGCAGAUGGAACGCUGGGUGCAGCACUACUCUGAGCUACAUUCUAGAGAGAAUGUAGUAACCGAAGAGGCAUUAAAUAACAUUGAGUGCCUGCCUGUCUUGGAAGAGCUGGACAGCGAACCAACCUUAGCAGAAAUAAAAGCGGCCUUGGAUUACCUCGCCUCUGGCAAGGCACCUGGAAAGGAUAACAUCCCUGUUCAAGUGCUGAAGCGCUGUAAAGAGACCAUCUCCAC
rnacentral:lncRNA from 1 species